AGCAAAAUGUUAACUGGUUAAUCUAGGUGAGGGGCACAUGGGUGAUGAAUGGGCUAAUUUGCAACCUUUUCUGAAGGCUCGAACUUCAAAAUAAAGGGAGACAGUGGGUAAACAGCCUCUGAAAUUUAGGAAGCGCCCCUUUCCUGACCUCAUUCUCAAUUCUCUUCGGUUAAGCCUCUGAGAUUCUUGGUUUUUCUCACGACUCUCCCACACGGUAUUUAUUCGCGGUGCUAAGUGAAGGACUGAAUACCAGCAACUACGCCGAGAGCUGGUUAUUAUCACCCUGAUUUUUCCAUCUAGGAAAAUGAGUUCGGGGAGAGUCAACACAACACUCUGUGCGGAGUCGAGAUUCGAACCCACAUCCGAUGGGUUCCGGGGCCGUCUCCUCCCCCGCAGGAUGGACCCACCGAUUCGAGGAGCCAACAUUUUUAGAGCUCGUGCUGCGUGCCUCAGAACAACCCUGUCCGAGGAGACUGAGCCUGUCACAAAGCCAGAGGGGCCUCCGCCGCCGGACUCCCGGUGCACGGCAGGUAUCUUCCCCGAAUCUUCCCUCUCACUCAGCCACCCCAAGCUCCGACCCGCUAAACCUAGGAAACCGUCUCCCAGCACCCCCCGCGGCAGCCGGGUCGGCUCAUGCGCAGGCGCCAGAGGCCGGAGGCGGCCGAGCUCGACUUCCGACCUGGGGCCUCGGUAGGAAGACGAGGCUGGGCUGAGGCGGCGCCUUUUUCCCCGCAGAAUCUCGACGCCGUCCUUCCCCAGCCCCGCCAGGACCCCAUUCUCCUGUACCUGUCGGACACACGCCGAGCUUCUGUUAACCCUUUGGACGUGAUUUCACACAGGGAAGAGAUGCUGCACACCCACCAUUCAGACACAGUAGCUGGAGAUAACCAAGAACAGAUGAUAGAAAGAUGUGCAACACAGUAGCAUAAUUAAGAAUGGUAAAGAAUCUGCCUGCCAAUGCAGACAUGGCUUCAAGACCUGAUCUGGGAAGAGUCCACACACCAUGGGGCACCUAAGCCCGUGCACAACUACUGAGCCCAUGAGCCACAGCUACUGAAGCCUGCGUGCCCUGGAGCCCGUCCACAGCAAGAGAAGCCAGCUGCAACCAUAAGAAAGCCCUUGUGCAGCAACAGAGACCCAGC